AUCCUAUGAAUUCUGGAAAUAUCAACCAUUCGAUGUAUUACAUUGGGGUCUUGGUAAUAUUAUAAUCACAAUUUUCCUUAUAUUAGAAAUUUAUGAAAGGACUCAAGUCUUCCUUAUAAAGCCACCUGCAUUUCUUAGUUGAUAUUUACCAUAUACAAUCUGUCACUUGUAUGAGAUGGCAGGGGGUUCUGUGCUAUUUGUCCUUGUUGAUCAGCUACAGACCAUCAACAGUGUUGAUUGAGAAUUGAACAAAAACAUUUCAAGGAGUUUGGGAACAUUAGUGAUGCUAUUCUGUGGCCCCAUGUGUCCUUCUCUCAUUUUUCUAGAGAACUCCUAUAAGAAAGCAGAACACAGCCAGGCAUGGUGGCUCACGCCUGUAAUCCCAGCACUUCAGGAGGCUGAGGCAGGCAGAUCACCUGAGGUCAGGAGU
rnacentral:lncRNA from 1 species